rnacentral:lncRNA from 1 species
CCAGAUGCCACCCCCCCCCAAAAAAAAAUGACUCCAAAACAAAACCAACCCCUGGAAAUCCCUGGACUUAUUUUCUGGCCUUGUAGGAGAGGCUAUUUUCCCUAAAGUUGCAUGAGGAUGAUGGUGGAGGCAGGGAUACACUCUGUAUGGGGUUGUUCCACAGAGAUAUUUCUCUAAGGAGUGUCACUGGAAUGAGAACUCUAAGCUAAGUUCCAUAUAAAAUAUACCACUUCAGUAGGAAGUAAGAUACUCAAGAUACUCAGACAAAGGCUGAAGGGCCAUUCAUCACAAAUGCUUCAGGGAAUUUCUGGUCAUAUAAGAGCCAAACUAAGUAUUCUCUGAGUUUGCAUAUAAAUUUUGGAUUCGGUGAUUUUCCCCAUAUUGGCCCAGUACCUUUGUGACAGAAAAGCCAUAAGAACAAGGAUUUAUUUACUAAAGUAUGAUGGUCACCAUUUGGCAUAUGACUGUUAGGAUGUCAAGGUAAAAUGACUUGCCCCAAAUCUCAGCUGCUAUGAUACUUUUCAGACCCGAGAUUCUUAUUCUGAACCCCAUGUCCAGUGCUUCCAUUCUAUAUUAUGAUGUGUAACACUAGAAUCAUAAGGGAAUCUAUACUACACUUAGUUUAGUCCAUGAUUUAGCAUGCAUGCAGCCUUAAUAUAAUAUGUUGGGCUGUUUUCAUCACUUUGGCUCAACUAGAAUCUUGAAAUCUUGGUCAAGCUUUCUGAGAGAAUCAGCAAGAUAUAAAAAGUAUGACAGGAAAUCUUGGCAAUCUAAGUUCUUGGAAAAGGUCAUGUCAGUCUUAAUAUCCCUGGCUAUGCUGAUAAGGAAUCCCAUCUCUGACCUGUAUGACUUUAACACCUAUAUGUCCUUGGUGAAUGUAUUAAAGAGAAAGAGAGAGAGAAGGCUAUGGAGAUGGAGAGAGAGAGAGAGAGAGAGAGAGAGAGAGAGAGAGAGAGAGAGAGAGAGAGAGAGAUCCAGACUUGUUUUUUGCUUCUAUCAAUACCACUGUUUUGCUGCUCAAGCUAAAAGAAAGCCUCAUGAAAGAAUUAGUCUGACAUUCAAGGAUGAACACAGGAGGAAAAGCCCUAAUGCACCAUGAACGUUGAAUUGAUUUUGCACUGAUGUGUACUUCCAGUAUGAUGAUUGGUAUUUGUAAAAUAUAGAGUCUGUCCCCAAAUUGCUUACCUCAGUCACCUUCACAGAUCCUGGAAGUCAAAACCAGGGAAAAUGCUGAGAAGCCUAGGAAAAAGGGAAACAAAAGAAAGCAAAACAUAACAAUGACAAGAAUUACUCUGACAUCCACAGGAGGUGAGCAUUUUGCUCUCCUACACUCGGGAAAAAUGUUAUCUCAAUACAAAUAACAUAAUGCAGAGAAAGAACAUAUAUACAACAGAGAAAAUAAUGCCUCUUUCUACUGAUCCUUCAAUUACCUGGAGUGAGUCUCCAUUCUUGGGGAGUUAUCAUCAGGAAGCAUGGGAACAGUUCUAGCAAGCCAUUAUGCUGUCUUUUGUAGGAUUCUUCAAACUUUGAGUAACUUGGGAAUCUUUUGGCUUCCAGUUUCAAGAGAGAAGGUAGAAGAAUGUAACCACUUCAGGAUACUGAAGAAAAAGACUGAGAAGGAGAACAGAGGGGCCUCCAGUUCCAAUUACUUGCUUCCUGUCCUAGCAGUAAAGAUCUCCUUAGAAAAGGAUGAUUGGAGAAGAGCCCAGAGAUGCCUAUUUUUCCUUCCUUCAAAACAUACAACAACAGUUCUUACUAUAGAAGUAGGAAUUCAGCUCAAGGAGACAGAAAGCAUGGCACUUUUUAUAUUCAGAAGACCUGAGGCAAAAGCCUAUCCUGGCGCUCACCAUCUAUGUCUUCUUGGGUAAGUAACCUAAUAUUUGGGCCACAAUUUCCUCAUUUGUAAAUGAAGGAAGUUGGGUAAGAUAAUCUUUAUUUCACUUUAAGCCCUAAAAGUAUGAUCUCAAGACUUCAUUCACUGCAAUAAAUAGUUUUUAAACUCCUGCA